AUGGCCCCUCCCCCCGAACCGGAAACCCUAACCCGGUCGCCCCGUUCCCCACUCCCCCCCCCACUCGCUUCCCCCGCGCCUCUCUCCCUCUCCCCUCGUCUGGAUCGGGGUAGAGGGCCUCGACCCCUUCACCACGACGCCGUCGCCCUUCCCCCGACGCCACCACGCCGGUGCCACCUCGCCGACACCGCCCGGCACUGCCCCGUCCCCGGCACCUCUCCUCUCCCGGCGGCCCUCCUUCACCGCAGUCUCCUCUACUCGGCCAUGUCCGCCCAAGUCUCCUCCCCCUUGUUGCACCUAUCAGCGGCGACCGCGAUGCCCGUCGACCACCAACAGCCGCCCAAGUUAUCUAUGGGUUCUCUAAGGGACUGGCCUGGGUCCUCUGCUUUCGGCCGGUGUCGGUGCAAGCUGAAACUCAUUCGUGGGGAGCGCUGGCUAGCGGUGACAGUGGCAGGGAGGAGCAGAUCAAGGCCUCCCAAUAGGCGCAGGAUCAAAGGAGCGACGCUGCCGGUGCGUGGCGACGAGAGGCUCCUGGUGCUCGACAAGGUGCCUGAGCAGGACACCUUGAUUAAUACAUCAUCGUUCCCCAUGCCAUAUGCCGGUGGAUGGAAACAGAGCUUGACACAAUGGCAUGCUUUAACCAUGACUAUUGUCUUCAUGCAGACAUGCAGUGAACUUCAAUUGGAUAAUAAUGAUGUUGAGUUGAUUCUUGACAAGCUCAAAUCCAUCACGGGGCUGGGGCUCGUCAGCGACGUGUUAAGGGAUCUGGCACACGUCAAUAGCCCCCAUGGCCAGGCCACCAUUGGCCACAUCCGCUACUCCACCUCCGGUGGCGAUGCCCAGCUGUGCAAUGUGGUGCCGUUCCUUGCCGGACACCGGUUCGGGCAGCUCGCCGUGGAGCACAACGACAACCUGGUGAACUACUUGCCUUUGCGCCACAAGCUGGAGGCGCAUGGCUCCAUCUUCAACAACUCAGAGGUCAUCCUCCACCUCAUCACCAGAUCCUCCACAAUAUGGAUGCAUGGGUUCUACCUAGGUUUCAUGGAAGUGUGUGUAUGUCGAAUGCAAGAGAUGGAGGCUUUGAAUAAGAAGAGCACAAUACCUUUCUGUGAAGCCCUUUGA
rnacentral:rRNA from 1 species